rnacentral:lncRNA from 1 species
CCUAUCCCUUAUAGUACAGUAUCCCUAUCCCUAUAGUACAGUAUACCCUAUCCCUUAUAGAGUACAGUAUACCCUAUUCCCUAUAUAGUACAGUAUACCCUAAUCCCUAUAUAGUACAGUAUACCCUAUUCCCUAUAUAUACAGUAACCCAUUCCCUAUAUAGUACAGUAUACCCUAUUCCCUAUAUAGUAUAGUAUACCCUAUCCCUAUAUAGUACAGCAUACCCUAUAUAGUACAGUAUACCCUAUUCCCAUAGAGUACAGUAUACCAUAUAGUACAGCAUACCCUAUUCCCUAUAUAGUACAGCAUAACAUUUUCCUAUAUAGUACAGUAUAAACUAUUCCCUAUAUAGUACAGUAUACCCUAUUCCCUAUAGUUACAGUAUACCUAUUCCCUAUAUAGUACAGUAUACCCUAUUCCCUACAGAUUUGUUAUGAUCAGUUAUCAGUGAGCUGUACAACAGGAAGUUACUACAGUAUUGUUAUGAUCAGUGAGCUGUACAACAGGAAGUUACUACAGUAUUGUUAUGAUCAGUUAUCAGUGAGCUGUACAACAGGAAGUUACUACAGUAUGGUUAUGAUCAGUGAGCUGUACAAACAGGAAGUUACUAGUAUUGUUAUGACAGUGAGCUGUACAACAGG